CCGGCCGUGUAUAUAUAUGAUGAAGCUUGGUGCACAAUUUGUUUAUCAACAAUCAAUCUCGCCGCAAAUUGUGAGAUAUGAAGCUACAGAGAGUAAAUUAUGAAGCAGAUGAAAAAGAAGACAGGUUAAGCGAUUUACCCGAUUGUAUUGUUCAUCAUAUAUUCUCUUUUUUGAAUGCAAAACAAGUUGUUCAGACUUCAGUUUCGUCCACAAGAUGGCACCAUCUCUGGAAGUAUCUACCCACACUUACACUAGGUUCUUCACACUUUGACAAUUUUGAUAAUUUUAUCAGAUUUGUCAGUAAUUUUUUCUAUUUUCUAUGUCGCGACCGCGAUCCCUCCAUCUCGCUGCACAAACUCGAAUUUCACUACGAGGAUGGCCUGACUCCUUUCCGCAACCACGCCGAGGAUGGCGUGAGUCCUGACCUCUUAAAUAGCAUGUUAAAUUAUGCUGUUUCACGCAAUGUUAAGGAAUUGCUAAUCAUUAUGAGAUCUGAUAUUCAACACUUUCCGUCUUGUAUCUCUUCAUGUCAAACUUUAACAUCUCUUGACUUUUAUGUUCCCCAAAGAAACCCUAAAAAUCCUGAUGGAACAGUAUUAUUUCCGAAUUCUCUAAAUUUGCCAUCAUUGACACACUUGAGUAUAGGGUGUGUGGCCUUUCGUGGCGGAGUUGAUCUUUUUUCGGGUUUUCCCCGGUUGAAUGAAAUGAUGAUUACUAACUUUAAAAUUUUGGGUGAACAAAACUUAUGCAUAUCAAGUACCACCCUUGUUGUACUACUAGUCAUGAAAAUUUUUUAUCAUCAUUGGAAAAUUCAGCUGUCUACUCCAAAUCUUUCUACUUUUACUUUUAUAGGAACUCCUUUUCAGAUAAUGUGUGUGAGCCGUCUCAGGUCUCUUAAACACGUCCGGAUUUACCCGGAAAAAAUGAAUUAUGUAAAAGCUCCUUCUCUUCUACUCAGCUUGUUGCAUGAACUUGCUGAUAUUCAAUCGUUGGCGCUCUAUUCCAAUACUCUUCAAGUUCUCUCUUUACUUCCUGAUGUAUCCAAGAUUAAACUCAAUUCCUUGUAUAAGUUGGAGUCAUUGAGGAUAAAAGUGAAAGAAAUUUCCAAGACAUUGUUCGAACCUGCCGGAUCACAAGAAGAAGAAGAAGAAGUUGCCAAGUUAAGAGAAGCAUUAAAAAAAGGUUCCUCAUCCAUUCCUUCUAAAAUAAUUGGUUUUUUGCUUCAAAAUUCACCCUCAGCAAAAGUUCACAUCAUUCCGUGAAAUAUGCAUUCUACUUUUAUAAGAUAUCUAUUAGGUUUUUUUUUCUUUCUUUUCAGUGAAUCACAUAGGAGGAUAGUGUCAUUUGUUAUUCUCUAACUUGUACUAGUUGCUGAAGUUUAUUGGAGAUGAAGAAGUUGAUACAGAAAGUAGAUCAGAAGCUCUGUAGCACCGGCACUAUUGAAAAAAUUUGUAUGUGUGUUAGUCUUCGACACUAACACUGACACCGACACCUGUGAUUAUAUUUAAUUUGUUUAUUAUUUUUUUAAAUUAUUAUCUUUGUUGACGUGUUAGUGUAGGUGUCCUGUUUCCGUUGUCAGUGCUUCAUAUCGGAAGUUGUUAACAUAAUUGGUUAAGGGCUGAGGUAAAAAGCCCCAAUUGAUUUAGAGCUGAGGUGAAAAGGUUUCUGAGUAUAGAAUAGUUGAACCCUCUCCUACGCUUUAAUUGGUUGUGAGUACAGAAACGGCUAUCGCUUAUUUCUUCAGACCAUAUUGUUGUGUCCUCGAUUUUAUUGCGAAGCAUUGUUGGAGUGUUUAACAGAUGUUCUACAUGUAUGGCUAAUCUGUUGCAUUUGAUGCCUUCGAGAAACAAUCACAUUCCUGUGAUUAGUCUUUUGCCAACGGUAACCUAUUAUGAUUGAGGAAGAAACUUUGGCAUAUAAGAAUUAAGAACAUGAAAUAAAAGUCUAGUUACUGAUGUGGAAAAGUUUGAAUUUAUUUGGAUUUUAGUUUGAUUAAGGCCUUAUUUGGAUAAACAUUUUAUUAAGUGUUUAUAUCACAAUCCUUUAUUGUAUAAGUGCUUGUGUAAAAUUUGUUUCUAUAAUAAAAGAUAAAAUAAAGUUAAGCUGAUUUCAUAUAAGCAAUAAGUUUUGCAUAAGCUAUCCUUAAGAGCUAAUAGAAAUAAGUUGAAAACAACUUAUGUACAUGUCAAGCUGUUUUAGUAAGCUCAGUCAAACAAUCUCUGAAGUACUUAUGUUAGUAUAUAAGCUCAAUUAAGUUAACCUAAACAGGUCCUAACUAUGUAAUGAUUCAUUGACGAAUGAAGCAAAACAACCAAAGAUGGCAGCAAAUAUGAUUCUAUAGUUUUAUAUUUCACUUUUUUUCAUUUCUUUGUUUUGUGCAGAAUCCUCCUUCAGUUCUAACUCUGGUGGCUGUAAAAUGGGCUAGCUGGUUGAGGAAUCCUCCUUCAGUAGCACUUUAAAAGUUGUCUCUCAGGAUUGCUUCAAAUGCUUCCGAUCUUCAAAUGCUUCAAAUCUGCAAAUUCAGUUUCAACAUCAUGAACCCUAAAACCCCAAAUUCAAUUUCAAAUUCAAACAGUCCACUGGACAUUUUAAGGCGGCUAUUAGAGUCAAACUUUCCAAGAUCGGUUUUAGAAGAUUUCUUCAAUCGAUUUAGUGUCGGGGAGGCAGGUGCAAUGCGUCUAAUGCUAGUUGCGAGGAUAGUGCAUUCUGAAAAUUUUAUCAGCAAUGUUAAUGCGUCUAAUGAUAUCUUUAUAUGAGAAUGUGAGAAUGAAUCCUAACCAUUGAAUUUUAAAAUAAAUGGUGGAGA